rnacentral:rRNA from 1 species
ACACGUAGGAGGCGAGCGUUAUCCGGAUUUACUGGGUGUAAAGCGCGUGCAGGCGGUUCAGAAAGUUGGAUGUGAAAGCUCCUGGCUUAACUGGGAGAGGUCGUUCAAUACUUCUGGACUCGAGAGUGGGAGAGGGAGGUGGAAUUCCGGGUGUAGUGGUGAAAUGCGUAGAUAUCCGGAGGAACACCGGUGGCGAAGGCGACUUCCUGGACCAAUACUGACGCUGAUGCGCGAAGGUGUGGGUAGC